rnacentral:lncRNA from 1 species
UGGUGGUGAUGAUGAUGAUGAUGAUGAUGAUGAUGAUGAUGAUGAUGAUGAUGGUGGUGGUGGUGGUGGUGGUGGUGGUGGUGGUGGUGAUGAACAGAUGGUGUUGAUGACGUUGAUGAUAGUGGCGGCGGCGGCGGCAGUGGUGGUGGUGGUGGUGUUGGUGGUGGUGGUGGCCUUAGGCAUCUGUGUGAUACGAUGGUCGUUUUUGUUUUUAAGUGGUGGUGGUCGUGGUGGAGACAGGUUAUCUGGUGUAUUGUAGGGGGAGGUAACAAGAGUUAAAAACAACAACAGCAACAACAUAAAUUUGGUUGAAAUCUUCAGAUCAAUAGCGAUCUGAUCGAACAAGACCUACCUGUUGAUCAAAAACGGCCGUCCUUUCGUGGCCUUCCCACCUUUUUCGAUUUCUCCAGUCUUAAAGUCUGUGGCUCGAUUUUUCUGUUUUGUUUUCGUUGUUAGUAGUGUAGCCAGCCAGUUGAUGAGUCAUGUCUCGUGCGGCCCACUUCUCGAAAAAGGUGGCCCGUACUUGGAUUAUUUAAUUACAAGAUAAUCCACUACGUCUUGCUUGUUCUUAAGACAAUAGGACAUGGAGGCGCAAUGGCCCAGUGGUUAGGGCAGCGGACUCGCGGUCAUAGGAUCGCGGUUUCGAUUCCCAGACCGGGCGUUGUGGGUGUUUAUUGAGCGAAAACACCUAAAAGCUCCACGAGGCUCCGGCAGGGGAUGGUGGUGAUCCCUGCUGUACUCUUUCGCCACAACUUUCUCUCACUCUUACUUCCUGUUUCUGUUGUACCUGUACUUCAAGGGGCCGGCCUUGUCACUCUCUGUGUCACGCUGAAUAUCCCCGAGAACUACGUUAAGGGUACACGUGUCUGUGGAGUGCUCAGCCACUUACACGUUAAUUUCACGAGCAGGCUGUUCCGUUCAUUCGGAUCAACCGGAACCCUCAUCGUCGUAACCGACGGAGUGCUUCUACAUUUAGCAGAUCAUUUAGCUAUGCAUAGAGGCUGUUGUUUUAAUUGCAUGUCAGCCCUGUAUUGUGGAGGCGCGUGGUUUAGUGGUUAGGGUGUUGGACGCAUGAUCGUAAGAUUGUGGUUUCGAUUCCUGGACUGGGUGAUGCCAUUGUGUUCUUGAACAAAACAGUUCAUUUCACGUUGCUCCAGCUGGUAAAAAUGAGUAAUCUUGCAAUGGACUAGCGCCCCAUCCAGGUUGGGUAUAUACACGCCAUUGAAACAGGGAAAGCGGCCCUUAUGAGUCUCAGGAAGAAAUUUUGCUUUGCUUGCAGCCCUGAUUGGGGAGUCCUAGCAUCGAAUACAUUCCAGCGGUGACCAUCCCGUCAUUUUCCCUAUGUGUAGCGAACUCAGUGUUACGUUACCUCAUGCAGAAAGACAAAGUCAAAGAAUUGAGUGAUUGUUUCCUUCUGCGAAAGAAUUUUUGUUUUUACCAAAACAUUAAACAUUUGUCCUCCAAUUUCGUGUCCUUCUCCCGGUAAGUUUUUACUGGUACUGGCUUCAUGAAAAAGUACUCUUUUACUCUUUUACUUGUUUCAGCCAUUUGACUGUGGCCAUGCUGGAGCACCGCCUUUUUUAGUCGAGCAAAUCGACCCCAGGACUUAUUCUUUGUAAACCCAGUACUUAUUCUAUCGGACUAUUUUGCCGAACUGCUAAGUUACGGAGACGUAAACACACCAGCAUCAGUUGUCAAGCGAUGAUGGGAGGACAAACACAGACACACAAACAUAUAUACACAAACACACACAUACAUAUAUAAACAUAUAUACGACGGGCUUCUUUCAGUUUCCGUCUACCAGAUCCACUCACAAGGCUUUGGUCGGCCCGUGGCUAUAGUAGAAGACACUUGCUCAAGGUGCUACGCAGUGGGACUGAACCCGGAACCAUGUGGUUCGUAAGCAAGGUACUUACCACACAGCCACUCCUACGCCUAAAAGUACCAGUAAUUUUCCGAAAGCCUACUGUUACAUCCGUCUCAGGAGUGUGUUAGUUUAUUUACUAAUCCUCAGGUAAAUAAAAAUAUUUGCCACCGAUAAUUGGUAAGGUACCAUCAUCGGUGAAGAGUAACCUCUAACUAAUCGAUGGAGGCCAUUCUUAAGCGGAUCAAGACCGAAAUCUACUACGAAACGUGUGAUGAACAAGGACAUUAAACACAAGCCCAACAUGAUGAAGAGAGGAGAAUUUACUCUCGGAAAAUCCCGAGAGAAUCGGGUGAUCAUGUGACAUCCCCCACCAAUAUCACGUUAUCUCCUAGCUGUCAUAAUUUGAAAUCCCACCCUGAACAUUUGCAUCUGUGGCAUCGUCAGGAGACAAGAUAGACACAGUGAUAAGGGCUCUUUGAGUGAAAAUGAUGGAUGGCAUAUUUGGAGCAGGUGUAAAUGGUGGAUGGUAUAGUUAACAUCACAGCCAUCCACAUAUGGACAUAAGCGUCGUAUUUAGACAAAAACUACUUUUUGAGAAAUUUCCCGGAAGCCCGGGUUUCAAUUAAGGUAACGUGACACAGAGUGUGACACAGAAAUACAUGUGCUACUUAAAGAUUCAGCGUGACACAAAGUGUGACAUAAAAAUACAAGUGCUACUCAAAGAUUCAGUGUGACACAGAGUGUGACACAGAAAUACAGGUGCUACUCAAAGAUUCUGCGUGACACAGAGUGUGACACAGAAACAUAGGUACUACCCAAUUUUACCAGCUGAGUGGAUUGGAGCAACACGAAAUAAAGUCUUUUGCUCAAAGACAGAAAACGCCGUUAAGUAUCGAACUUACGACUUAACAAUCGUGAUCUGAAUCCCCAAAUCACUAAGCCACGCGCCUUCUUUUAUAUUUCCAUAGAAAUCCAUAGGAAUUCUUCAUUCUUCGCCGUGGCGUUGGAUAAGUUUAAAAGUUUUUUAACUCAUUUGAAUUCUGUUCAACCUGGCAAUUUGUCCGCUCGUUUUGUCACUCCUUACACACUAGUUGUCAAGCGAUGGUAGGGGACAAACACAUGCACAAUGGCACAGACACGCACACACACACAUAUACACGACGGCUUCAGUUAUCGUCUGCUAAAUCCACUCAAUAAGGCUUUGGUCGGUGAGAGGAAAGUGAAAGUAGAGAGGCAAGUUUUGUCUGGCGAAUGUUAAAAAAAAAGAUGGGUGAAUGUAGCAAGGAUAGCACGUAUGAAUGACGAAGCCACCUUGAACAUGAUCCUAUGAAUCCGGAAAAAUUUAAAAACAGAGAGUUACUUACUUGCAAAUAAACGUGUUAACAUGUGACAUUAUUGACCGAGGUUACCGUGGCCUUUUCCGUAGGCUUUUCUUUCCACAGAUAAACUUUAUCUGCUUCCUCCUUUAAACUUUACAUCAUGAUAUUUCUGUGAUACACGAUCCCUAUUGAUAAUUUUUUCUCUCUUUUUACAAUCCCUUUUGAUCGAAAACCUACCCAACUUUUUUUUCUCCCCAGAAAGAAAAGCUCUACUUUGUAAUUUGUCCCCUCUGUGUUGAGCCCUGUGUGGUUAAUAAAGAAACAUAUCUAUCUAUCUAUCUAUCUAUCUAUCUAUCUAUCUAUCUAUCUAUCUAUCUAUCUAUCUAUUUAUCUGUCUGUCUGUGUGUAUGUAUGUAUGCGUGUGUAAAUAUAUAUACAUAUAUAUAUAUAUAUAUAUAUAUAUAUAUAUGUACAUAUGCAUAUAUAGACAUAUAUAUGUACACACACACACACACACACACACAAAUAUAUAUAUAUAUAUAUAUAUAUAUAUAUAUAUAUAUAUAUAUAUAUAUAUACGUGACCGCGUGUGUACCGUUGGCGAUAUUUUUCCUCCGCCUUCCCUUCUAUGGAUCUUUCCUUCUCCUAUGUUUCUGACGAAGAGCUCCGCUCGAAACGUUAAACCCUCCUUCUUCCCUUCCUUCCUGAGCGUCCAUUAAUACUAUAUUUGUUCCACCUCCUCGCGUUCUUGCGUUUUCUCUUUGUGUUUUCAUGUUUGGAUUAACUUUAUAUAUAUAUAUAUAUAUAUAUAUAUAUAUAUAUAUAUAUAUAUAUAUAUAUAUAUAGUAUAUAUAUAUAUAUAUGUUCAUAUUAACAUUGUUGCAUACACCUGUCGAUGAUAUAUAUGUUUGUAUGUAUUAUAUGUAUGUAUCUCUCUCUCCUCCUCUUCCUUUCUCUCUCUCUCUCUAUAUAUAUAUAUACAUAUAUAAAUAUUUACAUACAGGCACACACACAUAUAUAUAUAUAUAUAUAUAAACACUUACAUAUGUAUGCACACACACACAUUCACACAUAUAUAUAUAUAAACACUUACAUACGUAUACACACACACACACACACACAUAAACACACACACACACAUAUAUAAACACACACACACAUAUAUAUAUAUAAACACACACACACACACACACAUGUGAUUCAUGAGUCGAUAGGAUGUGGAAACUGUCUGCCGCACACAGAGACAGCAUCAACACGAACGCACCAAAUACACCAACGCAAUCGCACCCACCCCACCACACCAUCUCACCACUCCCACCACACCAUCUCACCACUCCCACCGCACCAUCUCACCACUCCCCCCCACACCAUCUCACCACUCCCCCACCACUCCUGUCACUAGCAUCCAAUGAAAACCAUACGAGCGCCAUCAUCGCCAGCAAUCCGAACCAACAUUAUUAUUACCAUUGUUAUCAUUAUUAUUAUUAUUAUUAUUAUUAUUAUUAUUAUUAUUAUUGUCGUCGUGGUUGUUGUUGUUGUUGUUGGCAUUAUUUAAGUGGAACUAUUGACACGAAAAUAGUGCUGCGCGUGGGCGGUGUAACAUGUAAAUACAAGUGUACACUUUACUAUAGUCAUUGCUUUACUACAGACGGAAUUGUGUUGUGUAGUAGCUGUUGAAGUGUCAUAGAAGAACCGUGUUGAGAAAAACGAUCUCUGUGUGUAUAUGUACGUGUGUUUGUUUUGUAUAUGAAUCUAUCUAUCUAUCUAUCUAUCUAUCUAUCUAUCUAUCUAUCUAUCUAUCUAUCUAUCUAUCUAUCUAUCUAUCUAUCUAUCUAUCUAUCUAUCUGUCUAAUUCUAUCUAUCUACUUGCACGUAUGUCGGCGGAUACUCUUUACUCUAUCGUUUACUCUUUUACGUUUUUCAGUCAUUUGACUGUGGGCCAUGCUGGAGCACCGCCUUUUAGUCGAGCAAAUCGACCCCAGGACUUAUUCUUUGUAAGCCUAGUACUUAUUCUAUCGGUCACUUUUUGCCGAACCGCUAAGUUACGGAGACGUAAACACACCAGCAUCGGUUGUCAAGCGAUGCUGGAGUGGGUGGGUGGCAAACACAGACACACAAACAUAUACGCACACGUACAUAUAUAUAUAUACAUAUAUACGACGGGCUUCUUUCAGUUUCCGUCUACCAAAACCACUCACAAGGCUUUGGUCGGCCCGAGGCUAUAGUAGAAGACACUUGCCCAAGGUGCCAUGCAGUGGGACUGAACCCAGAACCAUGUGGUUGGUAAGCAAGCUACUUACCACACAGCCACUCCUGCGCCUAUACAUAUAUGUUUAUCUAUACUUUAAGAUAUAUAUGUGUCUUAUGUAUUAUAUAUGUAUAUACAUAUACAUACAUAUAUAUAUAUGUAUGUAUGUAUGUAUGUAUGUAUGUAUGUAUGUAUGUAUGUAUGUAUAUAUAUAUAUAUAUAUAUAUAUAUAUAUUUGAGGGUGUGCUGUAAAGUUCCUGACGUUAAGGGUAUCGCGAAUGGCCUGCUUGGAGCCCCAAUCUUCUUAGUUCUUUUUUAAGGGCUUAGAAAAACUGAAGGACCACUGCAAUAAGUGUGUGAAUCUGAGACGGGAAUAAAAUUGAAUAAAAUCAUAAUUAACUGAUCCUCCUGUAUUUUCUUUUACCCAAAACCAGAAAGUUCUUAGCAUCGCUUAAACACACACACACACACACACACACACACACACACACACACACACACUUACAGGGCCGCAUUAAGACCCAUAGAGGCUCUAAGCACUCAAAAAGAUUUCGGUGCCUCCAUAUAUAAUUUGAAAUGCAAACAAUAACAAACUAUAAAUUAAAUUUUUAUUCCUCAAAAUGAAACAACACUAACAGUAAGAUGGGAAAAUAGUGUCUAUUUUUGUAUACUUUCCAUUUAAUCUAUAUUUGGAUCCUUUCAUUUUAUCUUUUUUUCAAUUGCAAAGUCUUUGGUCAGAUUCUCAAAGUUAAUCGUACGUAAGACGUCUGCUUCUAUACUUUGUAGAAAAUUUAUUUUAGCAAGUUUAAAGUGAUUUCUUUUGUGCCGUAAACCAUUUCCCAUUUCUGCAGUUUCCCCCUCCUUCCUUUGAUGCCCUAAGAACGUGCUUAUUUUGCUUUAUGUUAACCCAGCUCUGUCUAUAUACAUAUGUCCAUCUUUCUUUUCCUCACGUGACCAUUUGUCUUUUCCUGCGCGUCGUUCUAAGGACCGGACAUCUUCUAUCAAUCUCUUCUAUAUCUAUCUCUCUCUUCUAUCUUUACUCUUUUCAAAGAAAACAUUUCUCCCAGCGUUCACUAUUUUUUAUUCUCCUUGUGGUCAAACGACACUCCAUGUUUUUUUCCCGUUCGGGUUCCCUCGUAUGUUACCACUGGCGUGUUUUUGUUCCCAACUUUGACCCUCCAUAAAUCCAAAAUUUUAUUUUGGAAUUUAUGGGAGCAACUGUAUUCGAAGACUCAUAUAUAGUCGUUGAGCGCUCGAAAUGAGGAGUAGAUAGACAGCCGACAACUGAUGAAGGGUCGUUCUCCGUGUUACUUGUCCUGUUUCCCCACUUUUUUUCUCUCGUUGUUUGCGGAUUUAACACGCCUGUUUUCGUACUUCAUGUUGUUUACAGUUGGUGACGUCGUGUAUUUUACUCGUCUCAGACUGCGAGGUGUGGACACGUGUGCGCGAGUGUGUAUGUAACAAUAUAUGUGUGUGUGUGUGCAUACAUAUAUACAGGCAUAUAUGGGCACAGGAGGUCACCAAAGGAGCAAAUAAUACAUAAACAAACGAGGGAAAAACGUGUGAAAUACGUAAACAACGAGGAAAACUGGAAAACUGGACAAGUAAACACAGAGAAAUGACCCUUCAUCAGUUGUCGGCUGUCUACUCCUCAUUUCGAGCAUUAUAUAUAUAUAUAUAUAUAUAUAUAUAUAUAUAUAUGUGUGUGUGUGUGUGUGUAUAUAUGUAUGAGCGACUGUGUGGUAAAUAACUUGCUUACCAACGACAUGGUCCCGGGUUCAGUCUCACUGCGUGGCACUUUGGGCAAGUGUAUUCUACUAUACUCUCGGGCCGACUAAAGCCUUGUGAGUGGAUUUGGUAGGCGGAAACAGAAAGAAGCCCGUCGUAUAUAUAUAUAUAUAUAUAUAUAUAUAUAUAUAUAUAUAUAUAUAUAUAUAUAUAUAUAUAUAUAUAUAUAUAUAUAUAUAUAUAUAUAUAUAUAUACCUAUAUAUAUAUAUAUAUAUAUAUAUAUAUAUAUAUAUGUAUUAUGUAUAUGUUUGCGUGUCUUUGUUUGUCCCCCACCAUCGCUUGACAACCGAUCUUGGUGUGUUUACGUCCCCUAUAACUUAGCAGUUCGGCAAAACGGACCGAUAAAAUAAGUACAAGGCUUACAAAGAAUAAGUCCUGGGGUCGAUCUGUUCGUCUAAAGGCGGUGCUCCAGCAUAGCCGCAGUCAAAUGACUGAAACAAAUAAAAGAAUAGAAUAUAUAUAUAUAAAUAUAGCUACCAAUAGAAUUUUUAGACAAGGCGGAACUGUGACCGGGUUUAGGCUUAUAGGUGGGGUGAUGCGGAUUUGAUCUGGAAAUUUUAACUGGGGCGAGAGAACUGGUUGUUCUCUCGUAGGGAGUGGAUCGACAGAUAAGUUACUCGUGCCCCACCCUGGCUCGACGUCGUUGUGUGGGUGAGAAGCUUGCCUCGCAACAACCUGGUUCCGGUUUCACCCCCGCUGUCUAGCGUCUCGGGCAAGUGUCUUCUACUAUAGCCUCGAGCCAACCGAAGCCUUGUGAGUGAAUGCAGUAGACGGAAACUAAAAGAAGCCCAUGAUGUAUAUAAAUAUGUAAAUAUAUCUAUGCGUCCGUAUUUGUGUUUGUGCUCGACCACCAAUCGAAGUCCAAAAUAUGCACAUAUAUACAUAUAUGUUUAUAUAUAUAUAUAUAUAUAUAUAUAUAUAUAUAUAUAUAUAUAUAUAUAUAUAUAUAUAUAUAUAUAGGGGGCUAAACAUAGAGGGGACAAACAAGGACAAACAAAGGGAUUAAGUCGAUAACAUCGAUCCCAGUGCGAAACUGGUACUUUAUUUUUCGACCCCGAAAGGAUGAAAGGCAAAGUCGACCUAGGCGGAAUUUGAACUCAGAACGUAUCGACAUGUUUAUACAUAUAUAUAUAUAUAUACUCUCUUUUACUCUUUUACUUGUUUCAGUCAUUUGACUGCGGCCAUGCUGGAGCACUACCUUUAGUCGAGAAAAUCGACCCCAGCACUUAUUCUUUGUAAGCCUAGUUCUUAUUCUAUCGGUCGCUAUUGCCGAACCGCUAAGCUACGGGGACAUAAACAAACCAGCAUCAGUUGUCAAGCGAUGUUGGGGGCGGACAAACACAGACACACAAACACACACACACACAUAUAUACAAGUACAUAUAUACAUAUAUACGACGGGCUUCUUUCAGUUUCCGUCUAGCAAAUCCACUUACAAGGCUUUGGACGGCCCGAGGCUAUAGUAAAAGACACUUGCCCAAGGUGCCACGCAGCGAUAUAGCAAGCGACCUGAUCUGAGAUCGUGUGCUGAACCAAAAACAAUUGCAGCGUGGAAGGUGUUUAUAAGCCAUUUAAAAACACACAAAAACCGUUAGAUUCACUUCAACAUUUAAAUUUUAUUUGUCUCCGCUAAAUCUAAUUUUGUCAGUGAAUAAGGUUGAGGUCUCAAAGCGACGCAAAUAUUUUGACAAAUUAAAUUUAUACGUUGAAGUGAAUCUAACGGUUUUUGUGUGCUUUUUAAAUGGCUUAUAAACACCUUCCACGCUGCAAUUGUUUUUCGUUGAAUACACGAUCUCAGAUCAGGUCGCUUGCUAUGCAAGUACAUCUCUCUUUUUUACACACACACACACACAUAUAUAUACAUAUAUACGACAGGCUUCUUUCAGUUUCCGUCUACCAAAUCCACUCACAAGGCUUUGGUCGGCCCGGGGCUAUAGCAGAAGACACUUGCCCAAGAUGCCACGCAGUGGGACUAAACCCGGAACCAUAUGGUUGGUAAGCAAGCUACUUACCACACAGCCAAAAAUUUAUAUCUAUAUAUAUAUCUGUGUGUAUAUGUAGGUUUUAUUUAUGAAUGUAUAUAUAUAUAUAUACAUAGAUAGAUAUACUUGUUUAUAUAUAUAAACACACGUACCACGUACAUACAUGUAUAUAUAUAUAUAUAUUUAUUUAUGUACCUCUGCAUAUGUAUGUAUUUCUCUGUGUGUGUGUGUGUGUAUGUAUAUAUAUUUAUAUUUAUACGCACCUACACACAUACACAUACCUACAUGCACGCACGCACGCACACAGACAAACACAAAUAUAUAUAUGUAUAUGUAUAUACAUACAUUCUAUAUAUAUAUAUAUACAUACAUAUAUAUAGAAACACACACACACAUAUAUAAAUAUAUAUAGCGUUUGUGACUCAUGCAAGCAUGCACAACCUUGAUCACAUACGUACAUACACACACAUACACGUACAUACAAACACAUAUCGAUAUAAAUACAUAUAUAUAUAUAUAUAUAUAUAUAUAUAUACACACACACACGCACUCAUACCUACACAACGCGCUAGCACACACACACACACACACACACACACACACACACAUACACAUGGCCACAUGCACAUAUGCACACACACACACACACACACACACGAUCCUGUAAUAUGCAUCUAGAGACGGGCGCAUCUAUUGACUGCGCUACACGCUCGCCUAAAUACACCGCAAAUGACUCACAUCAUACCCAAUGACUUGACAUACAUACAGGCGCACACAUGUUAUGCGUGUACGCAC